GGAUCAGGCAAAUCUGGCCAUAAACAAGCGAUGGAGUCUGGCUAUGUUGCCCACACCGGUCUUGAACUCCUGACCUCAAGCAAUCCUCCCUCCUCGGCCUUCCAAAGUGUUGGGAUUACAGGUCUGAGCCACCCCAUCUGGCCUAAAAUGUUUUGAAUUAAUGAAAACAAUACUGUACCAAUCAAGAGAAGUAGGAUGGAGGAUCUGGUGAAAAAGAGAUUGCUUCUGACAAGCCUGCCCGCUGCGUGGCUUUUCCAGCUACACUGACUAGCAUUGUGUUCACCUGGAGAGAGGAGAUUCUAAACCAUCCACUCCCUGUUGAUCCUUAGUUUCUGGCUGGUGACACACCAGAAGGAUAAGAUGGCUCCAAUCUCCCUGAUGAAGGGGUAAUCACCUGACUUUCUCUUGGAAACAGAGGCACUGGUUCAGGUCCACAACAAUGAACUUGGAGAGCAAUAACCUCUGUGUGCACAGUCAUUGCUGGCUGAAUCAAAAGGCAGGCAUUAGGGAUAAACACUGUCUUUUAAGAAUAGGAGUGAAUGUCUAUACAUUUCUGACAAACGCAGUUUUAUUUAAAAAAAAAAAAAAAGUGGAGACUGGGAAGACCAGAGAGGGAGGGGCAAAUGAAGGGGCAAAGGAAAGAAGCCCAGUUUCUGGAAUUAUUCAACUAAGUAUGCUUUUAAAAGCUAACAACCACAAAACCCUAAGCCAAACCCUGUUUACUGGCCCCUUGCUAGCCUUGUGUGUUUGCACUCUUGCUCCAUAACGGCUUGUAAAUACCACCAUGUAAAACCUUGAAGGCAAACAGAAGACAAGAAGGGACAAGCUGCAUGUGCUAGGGGUGAAUGAAGUAUGCGUCAAGGUAUUUGGAUGGAGAUGUGCCCAGAAUCUUCCUAGUCAAGCUUAAUAAACUUUGGCCCAAGGUCCUCUCCUGUUAUUGAAACUCUUUCAUCUGGCAGAUCUUUUUCUCAGAUCCAAAUUGGUGCCUCCCACCCUUCCCCAAACUGAACAAUAAAACCAAAAUAAGGAGGAAGCCUAAAAUUAGGAACUAUAAGCAUAUCACUGGUAAAAUAACAAGACACUGUUGGCCGGGCACGGUGGCUCACGCCUAUAAUCCC
rnacentral:antisense_RNA from 1 species